rnacentral:SRP_RNA from 1 species
CCAGAUCCCUCGUACGGCGCUACCGUGCUGAACUCCCCCAGGGCAGGAAUGCAGCAAGGGUAGGUACGCUCUGGCGGGUGUACGGGGGAUCCCUUUU